UGGGGAAUUUUGGACAAUGGGCGCAAGCCUGAUCCAGCCAUGCCGCGUGCGGGAAGAAGGCCUUCGGGUUGUAAACCGCUUUUGUCAGGGAAGAAACGGCCUGAUCUAAUAAAUCGGGCUAAUGACGGUACCUGAAGAAUAAGCACCGGCUAACUACGUGCCAGCAGCCGCGGUAAUACGUAGGGUGCAAGCGUUAAUCGGAAUUACUGGGCGUAAAGCGUGCGCAGGCGGCUUUGCAAGACAGAUGUGAAAUCCCCGGGCUCAACCUGGGAACUGCAUUUGUGACUGCAUGGCUAGAGUGCGGCAGAGGGGGAUGGAAUUCCGCGUGUAGCAGUGAAAUGCGUAGAUAUGCGGAGGAACACCGAUGGCGAAGGCAAUCCCCUGGGCCUGCACUGACGCUCAUGCACGAAAGCGUGGGGAGCAAACAGGAUUAGAUACCCGCGUAGUCC
rnacentral:rRNA from 1 species